rnacentral:rRNA from 1 species
AUGCACCACCAUGAGGAACAGCAUGUGGUUGGAGAGCACCCUUAUGCUGUCCCGGACCUCCUUGUCGGGGUCAGGGUCAGGGCCAGGGCACAUGGAGAGGUAGAGAUCGGUGGCGAUGUGCCACACCAUGAUGCUACGGUCAAGCUCGGUGUCGUCGGCGAUCCGCGUGAGAUCCUCGUACAUCUCUUUCUCCUUGAGGAUCCACCUGCCCCGUGCAUUCCUCAGAUCAUCUAUUUUCCUCUUCCUGAUCUCUCUCAGCACCAGAGUCUUGAUGGCGUCGGAGACGGGGGCGGUGCUCGAGUAGUGCAUCUUCUGCCACCGGUCCUUAAGUCCAAUCAUCUUGGCGAUCUUGCCUCUCAGGUGGCCGUCCUUGUUGGCGUCGGUGCAGAGGUCCAGCAGGUUGUACUGCCCAAGCGAGUCCAGGGAGGCACUCCUCCUUGCUCCAACCUUGAGCAUUCGGCGGAGGCGCAUCACCAUGUCGCAGAGCCAGUGCCAUCCCCGGGCAUGGUAGGACGCACACGCCCAGGAAGACCCUGCCGCCCUGAGAGACGACGCGAGCUCCAAUGCCAUGGCUCCCACGAGCAGGACGUAGGUGACGGCGAUGUCAGCCCUGCUGUAGGCGUCCUUGCUACUGAGCUGAAACAGCACAAACGCGGCGACCAUGGAGAGCGGCGCGACAAUCCGAAUGCACAAGCCAUGCCAGGUGUGGAGCACCGCCGCCUUGGUGUAGAGUAUGUCGUACAGGAGGGAGAGCUCCAUAGCGGCCAGAUGGAAUACGUAGUUGCCGCCGUUGAGCUGGAUGCCUUGCCGCAUGACUUCGUACUCAGAUUUCUGCAUCACCGGGCCAUCAGCCAGGAGGCCCUUGCAGAAAUUGAGCAUGUGGUGUGCCCCCAGCAGGACCUCCUCCGUGUCCAGCCUCUUUGCCCCCUCCCUCCCAUGGUAAGGGCCACCGGUAGCCGACGACUUGCCGUCGUCAUCGAGGGACUUUUUGAUGCUGUCAAUGCCGCCGCACUUGAGCGCCCACGUCCUCUCGCCGUACUUGAGGCAGCCGGUGACGAACAUCAACGCUGCGGCGGCGAGCAACGUCCCAGCCGGGCUCCUGCCGGGCGCGACGAAGAGGUACAUGACAUAGAUGGCGCCGAGCACCUGCCCCGCGAGCGUGAGCAGGUGGCGCAACCAGAGCUGGUUGUCCUGGUAGGCGUAGGCGGUGAUGGUGUCCGGCCCGCCAAGGUGGAGCAGCAGGAAGGGAGCCCAGAAUGGCACCAUCCGCACCUGGUGGUCGGCUGGACCUGGAGGAGACCUGCUCCUGCUCAUGGUGAUGGACAUGUGGCCAAGGGCGUAGAUUGCGGUGUAGUCGGCCAUCAGGUAGGCCAGCCAGAGGAGGAUUCUGAGCACACCCGAGGCUUCUCGACUACGCCGGAUCCCUGCGCAGCAGAGGAGGAUGGCUUGAAGGGCGAAGCUGAGGAUCACCAGAGUGUCUGGAUGUUCCGUUCUUCCCAAAACGAUGCUAGCCCUCCGCCCAUUGCUCCGCUCCCACUGAAACUGUUGGAGACACAUGUAAAUCAAAUGCAAGUUAAAUUGGCCACUGUAUAUAUAUCUCUGAUGAGAGCAAACUAA